rnacentral:rRNA from 1 species
UACGGGGGGGCGGAAGCAGUUGUUCGGAAUUACUGGGCGUAAAGGGCUCGUAGGCGGCCAACUAAGUCGGACGUGAAAUCCCCAGGCUCAACCUGGGAACUGCGUCCGAUACUGGAUGGCUUGAAUCCGGGAGAGGGAUGCAGAAUUCCAGGUGUAGCGGUGAAAUGCGUAGAUAUCGCUUGGAACGCCGAAGGUGAAAACAGGUUGCUGGGGUUGUGCCGACGCUGAGACACGAAAGCCAGGGGAGCAAACGGG